rnacentral:lncRNA from 1 species
UCUCCUUGACGUGGGACCCAUCUUGAGCGUCCUCCUUGCUGGUGUGAGGCGUCAUACCAACACCUCUCCUCUCUUGUUUGAUUAGGUUGCAAAGAUGAUUUGAUCGGAGUUCAUCCCACUUUCCUGUGUUGUCUGGCGUGUAUGCGAAGUAGAAGGUCUACACUUCUAAGCCUCCACGACGGUUUGUUUCAGAUUUUUGAAGAUUUGAUUUCCUAUUCUACUGCUAUCCAGAUAAAGAUUUGAUCUUUAUUCAUAUA